rnacentral:misc_RNA from 1 species
CCGACGCCCGCAUGAGACGUGCUCAAGACGGGUUCCACGGUCUUCGGUGAGGGACAAAUGCGUUGCUCGGCCGACGGAGCCAAAAACCCCACGCCCGCGCACAACGUUCCGCAUCCGAGAGCACGGGCAACGCCCCCGGGGCCUGACAGCCACCAACUGGGCGAGGCGUGCCGGAACACGAGGCUUGUCUGACGUCACCCCACCACCCGCGAGGGCAUGGGGCGGAGAGGGACCACAAACCGUCGGAUUCCUUUCAUAGGUAAGCAACACAGGGAUACCGGAUGCACCCGCAAGGCCUGACGCACGUUGGGGAACAAUGAAGAGGAUGGGGCGUCAACAGUUGAUGCACGAGCACGGAGCCU